rnacentral:rRNA from 1 species
CCUGGCUCAGAUUGAACGCUGGCGGCAGGCUUAACACAUGCAAGUCGAGCGGAAACGAUGGGAGCUUGCUCCCAGGCGUCGAGCGGCGGACGGGUGAGUAACACUUAGGAAUCUACCUAGUAGUGGGGGAUAGCUCGGGGAAACUCGAAUUAAUACCGCAUACGACCUACGGGAGAAAGGGGGCAGUUUACUGCUCUCGCUAUUAGAUGAGCCUAAGUCGGAUUAGCUAGAUGGUGGGGUAAAGGCCUACCAUGGCGACGAUCUGUAGCUGGUCUGAGAGGAUGAUCAGCCACACCGGGACUGAGACACGGCCCGGACUCCUACGGGAGGCAGCAGUGGGGAAUAUUGGACAAUGGGGGAAACCCUGAUCCAGCCAUGCCGCGUGUGUGAAGAAGGCCUUUUGGUUGUAAAGCACUUUAAGCAGUGAAGAAGACCUAUACUGGUUAAUACCCRUUAGCGAUGACAUUAGCUGCAGAAUAGGCACC